CGAAGGGGGCUAGCGUUGCUCGGAAUCACUGGGCGUAAAGCGCACGUAGGCGGAUUCUUAAGUCAGGGGUGAAAUCCUGGAGCUCAACUCCAGAACUGCCUUUGAUACUGGGAAUCUCGAGUCCGGGAGAGGUGAGUGGAACUGCGAGUGUAGAGGUGAAAUUCGUAGAUAUUCGCAAGAACACCAGUGGCGAAGGCGGCUCACUGGCCCGGUACUGACGCUGUGGUGCGAAAGCGUGGGGAGCAAACAGGAUUAGAUACCCUGGUAGUCCACGCCGUAAACGAUGGAUGCUAGCCGUUGGUGGGUUUACCCUUCAGUGGCGCAGCUAACGCAUUAAGCAUCCCGCCUGGGGAGUACGGUCGCAAGAUUA
rnacentral:rRNA from 1 species